GCCUCGGUAGCUCAGUUGGUAGAGCGUGUGGCUGUUAACCAUAAGGUCGCAGGUUCGAGUCCUGCCCGAGGCG
rnacentral:tRNA from 1 species